UCAACACCUCAACCAGGAGUGCACAUCACAGUAGCCCAGUGGGGUGAUAGACAGCAGCCAUGAGGGGCCGCAAAGAUGAGGCCUCAACUCUCUUUUUCAGACUCUGAGAAGCCAACAAUACUGCCCGGAAGGGGUGGUCUUUCCUCACACCAUGGGGAACGUAUUCAAUGACCCAAGAGGAACCAGGGAGGCUGCUCGUCCCAGAAGGACCUGGAAGGGCCGGUUCCAGAGAGCCCUGGCUCGUGUGUCCAAGUUCUUCAGGCGAGGACGCCGCUCAUUCCGAGGCUGAGUCCACGUGAGUCUGAGACACGGGGCCACGACAGAGAGCAAGACCUUCUGCUGUCCAGGCCCCUCCUCUCCCAAGAAUCUUGUUAAUGAGGUUGAAAUAAAGGCCGGUGUGCUUUACAA